CCUCCUAACAUUCGGCAUGCUUAACAUGCAGUCGAACGGCAGCACGGGAGCAAUCCUGGUGGCGAGUGGCGAACGGGUGAGUAAUAUAUCGGAACGUGCCCAGUCGUGGGGGAUAACGCAGCGAAAGCUGUGCUAAUACCGCAUACGAUCUCUGGAUGAAAGCGGGGGACUCGCAAGAGCCUCGCGCGAUUGGAGCGGCCGAUAUCAGAUUAGCUAGUUGGCGGGGUAAAAGCCCACCAAGGCGACGAUCUGUAGCUGGUCUGAGAGGACGACCAGCCACACUGGAACUGAGACACGGUCCAGACUCCUACGGGAGGCAGCAGUGGGGAAUUUUGGACAAUGGGCGAAAGCCUGAUCCAGCAAUGCCGCGUGCAGGAUGAAGGCCUUCGGGUUGUAAACUGCUUUUGUACGGAACGAAACGGUCUGCCCUAAUACGGUGGGCUAAUGACGGUACCGUAAGAAUAAGCACCGGCUAACUACGUGCCAGCAGCCGCGGUAAUACGUAGGGUGCGAGCGUUAAUCGGAAUUACUGGGCGUAAAGCGUGCGCAGGCGGUUAUAUAAGACAGAUGUGAAAUCCCCGGGCUCAACCUGGGACCUGCAUUUGUGACUGUAUAGCUAGAGUACGGUAGAGGGGGAUGGAAUUCCGCGUGUAGCAGUGAAAUGCGUAGAUAUGCGGAGGAACACCGAUGGCGAAGGCAAUCCCCUGGACCUGUACUGACGCUUUGCACGAAAGCGUGGGGAGCAAACAGGAUUAGAUACCCCGGUAGUCCACGCCCUAACGAUGUCUACUGGUUGUUGGGUCUUCUCUGACUCAGUAUCGAACCUACUUCAUGAAUUUACC
rnacentral:rRNA from 1 species